AUUGAACGCUGGCGGUAUGCUUAACACAUGCAAGUCGAACGGUAGCAGGCCUUCGGGCGCUGACGAGUGGCGGACGGGUGCGUAACGCGUAGGAAUCUGCCUGCUAGUGGGGGACAACGUGGGGAAACUCACGCUAAUACCGCAUACGCCCUGCGGGGGAAAGCGGGGGCUCUUCGGACCUCGCGCUAACAGAUGAGCCUGCGUGGGAUUAGCUAGUUGGGAGGGUAAAGGCCUACCAAGGGGACGAUCCAUAGCUGGUCUGAGAGGACGAUCAGCCACACUGGGUCUGAGACACGGCCCAGACUCCUACGGGAGGCAGCAGUGGGGAAUAUUGGACAAUGGGCGCAAGCCUGAUCCAGCAAUACCGCGUGUGUGAAGAAGGCCUGAGGGUUGUAAAGCACUUUCAAUAGGGAGGAAUAGCUAUCGGCCAAUACCCGCUAGUCUGACAUUACCUAUACAAGAAGCACCGGCUAACUCCGUGCCAGCCGCCGCGGUAAAAC
rnacentral:rRNA from 1 species